GACGAACGCUGGCGGCGUGCCUAAUACAUGCAAGUCGAACGCAGUGGGGACGGGUGAGUAACACGUGGGUAACCUCCCAUCAGAGGGGAUAACACUUGGCAACAGGUGCUAAACCGAUACUGAUUGAUGGACCCACGGUUCAUGAGCUAGUUGGUGAGGUAACGGCUAACCACGGCCACAAUGCAUAGCCGACCGGAGAGGGUGAUCUGCCACACUGGGACGUAGACACGGCCCAGACUCCUACGGGAUGCAGCAGUAGGGAAUCUUCGGCAAUGGACGAAAGUCUGACCGAGCAAUGCCGCGUGAGUGAAGAAGGUUUUCGGAUCGUAAAACUCUGUUGUUAGAGAAGCGGUAUCUAACCAGAAAGCCACGGCUAACUACGUGCCAGCCGCCGCGGUAAUAC
rnacentral:rRNA from 1 species